AUUGAACGCUGGCGGAAUGCUUUACACAUGCAAGUCGAGCGGCAGCACGGGGGCAACCCUGGCGGCGAGCGGCGAACGGGUGAGUAAUACAUCGGAACAUGCCCAGUCGUGGGGGAUAACACUUCGAAAGAAGUGCUAAUACCGCAUACGUCCUGAGGGAGAAAGCGGGGGAUCGCAAGACCUCGCGCGAUUGGAGUGGCCGAUGUCAGAUUAGCUAGUUGGUGGGGUAAAGGCCUACCAAGGCAACGAUCUGUAGCUGGUCUGAGAGGAUGAUCAGCCACACUGGGACUGAGACACGGCCCAGACUCCUACGGGAGGCAGCAGUGGGGAAUUUUGGACAAUGGGGGCAACCCUGAUCCAGCCAUUCCGCGUGAGUGAAGAAGGCCUUCGGGUUGUAAAGCUCUUUCGGCAGGAACGAAACGGCGAGCUCUAACAUAGCUUGCUAAUGACGGUACCUGAAGAAGAAGCACCGGCUAACUACGUG
rnacentral:rRNA from 1 species